CUAAAGGUACUAUUAUGCAAUUUUUGAACAAAGACAAUUGUGCCUGCCUACGCAAGUGUUACAGGUUUUUAAUUGUUAUUAUUGACUUAUGUAGAAACAGAGAGAGUUAUACGUACUGCUAAGGGGAGUAAGGGAAGUGUUAGAACUAAAGAAACAACUGUAAGUCCUGCUAAUGCAACUACUGCUAAGAAAAGUGCUAAAGAAUCAGCUGAUUAUCCUACUGCAAAGAAGAGUGUUCAAAGUGCACAUAGAGUUGAUACAAGAAGGAGUGUCAGAACUAAACAAAUGGAAAGAGUUGGACAAUGUACAGUGAAUAAUGGUAUUGCUAAAGAUGCAGUCCCUCCUACUACUUAUGCUACCAAAAGGAAUGUGAAAUCUAAAGUCAAGUCUGAUUGUUCCCUAAAGCAAUGUUCACAUCCUGAUGAGUCUAAUUGGGUCUUUUGUUGCAGCUGCAACCAGUGGUAUCACUGUUAUUGUUAUAAAAUUUCAUUUCAAAAGGCGAAAUCAAAAAACUUUAAAUUUACAUGUAACAACUGUAAAUAAUAACUAAUUUUAAUAAUAAUCAAUAAUGUUAGGCGUGUCCGUUUAUUGUAGAAGAAGUUAAAUAUUUUUUAUGGUA
rnacentral:lncRNA from 1 species